AAAGCACUUUGUAACUUGUUUUUGAAAAGUGCUCUACAAAUAAGGAUUAUUAUUUGUCGCGGUGGCAGCCCGGCUGUUGGUGAGUGUCCUGUUUCUCCUUUCCCUCACAUUCUGGUUUCUCCUGUGCCCUCUCGCUCCGGAGCCCGGAUGGCUACCCACACCUGCACCUCGUUAACCUCCAUCCCCAGCCGCCGCACCUGCCAGCCAUCAGCCUCAUCACAACCAGUAUAUCUACCCCGGCUUUCCACACCAUCCUCGCUCGAUCGUCGCAGCUCCAGACCUGGUUCACUCUCCUCUACCUCCCAGCUCGGCCAGCCGGGCUCGCUCGCCUGCCUCCUCCUCUCGCCGCCUCCACGACGCCCUCCGGCUUCCCCUCUCGCACCCCGCCUGGAACCCCAGUCUCCGCGCCCUCUCCUAUCCGUCUGCCAGCCUCCCUCAAGCCUCCAGCCUAAGUGCCCUCCGUUCCUCCAGCUUCUCGGUUCCCCGUGUCCUCGUCAGCCUCUCCCCCUCCUUCCACCCGCCCUCGCCUCAAACCCCCUUCUCCUCAAUAAACCUCUAUUUCUAACCCUCA